rnacentral:rRNA from 1 species
GUCCACGCCGUAACGAUGGAUACUAGCUGUUGGGAGCAAUUUCAGUGGCUAAGCGAAAGUGAUAAGUAUCCCACCUGGGGAGUACGUUCGCAAGAAUGAAACUCAAAGGAAUUGACGGGGCCCGCACAAGCGGUGGAGCAUGUGGUUUAAUUCGAUGAUACGCGAGGAACCUUACCAAGGCUUAAAUGUAGAUUGACAGAUUUGGAAACAGAUUUUUCUUCGGACAAUUUACAAGGUGCUGCAUGGUUGUCGU